ACUAGGGGAGGCAGCAGUAGGGAAUUUUGCACAAUGGACGAAAGUCUGAUGCAGCGAUUCCGCGUGGAGGAUGAAGCAUUACGGUGUGUAAACUCCUUUUCUGGUGGAAGACGAAUGACGGUACACCAGGAAUAAGAGACGGCUAACUACGUGCCAGCAGCCGCGG
rnacentral:rRNA from 1 species